UGCAUGUCUCAGUACACGCCGAAUUAAGGUGAAACCGCGAAUGGCUCAUUAAAUCAGUUAUGGUUCCUUAGAUCGUACCUACAUUUACUUGGAUAACUGUGGUAAUUCUAGAGCUAAUACAUGCAAACCAGAGUUCCGACCAGAGAUGGAAGGAAUGCUUUUAUUAGAUCAAAACCAAUCGGUGUCUCGUACACCGUUCUUUUUGGUGACUCUGAAUAACUUUGUGCUGAUCGCAUGGUCUCGUACCGGCGACGAAUCUUUCAAAUGUCUGCCUUAUCAACUGUCGAUGGUAGGUUCUGUGCCUACCAUGGUUGUAACGGGUAACGGGGAAUCAGGGUUCGAUUCCGGAGAGGGAGCCUGAGAAACGGCUACCACAUCCAAGGAAGGCAGCAGGCGCGCAAAUUACCCACUCCCGGCACGGGGAGGUAGUGACGAAAAAUAACGAUACGGGACUCAUCCGAGGCCCCGUAAUCGGAAUGAGUACACUUUAAAUCCUUUAACGAGGAUCCAUUGGAGGGCAAGUCUGGUGCCAGCAGCCGCGGUAAUUCCAGCUCCAAUAGCGUAUAUUAAAGUUGUUGCGGUUAAAAAGCUCGUAGUUGAAUCUGUGUGUCACGCUGUCGGUUCACCGCUCGCGGUGUUUAACUGACACGAUCGUGGCACGUCCUACCGGUGGACUUAGCUCUUCCCCUUCGUGGGUGUGGGGCGGUCCUAUUUGAAUCCCAUCGCGGUUCUCUUUACCGAGAGUCGAGGUGGGCCGGUACGUUUACUUUGAACAAAUUAGAGUGCUUAAAGCAGGCUACUUUCGCCUGAAUAUUGUGUGCAUGGAAUAAUGGAAUAGGACCUCGGUUCUAUUUUGUUGGUUUUCGGAACACCGAGGUAAUGAUUAAUAGGGACAGAUGGGGGCAUUCGUAUUGCGACGUUAGAGGUGAAAUUCUUGGAUCGUCGCAAGACGGACAGAAGCGAAAGCAUUUGCCAAAAAUGUUUUCAUUAAUCAAGAACGAAAGUUAGAGGUUCGAAGGCGAUCAGAUACCGCCCUAGUUCUAACCAUAAACGAUGCCAGCUAGCGAUCCGCCGAAGUUCCUCCGAUGACUCGGCGGGCAGCUUCCGGGAAACCAAAGCUUUUGGGUUCCGGGGGAAGUAUGGUUGCAAAGCUGAAACUUAAAGGAAUUGACGGAAGGGCACCACCAGGAGUGGAGCCUGCGGCUUAAUUUGACUCAACACGGGAAACCUCACCAGGCCCGGACACCGGAAGGAUUGACAGAUUGAUAGCUCUUUCUUGAUUCGGUGGGUGGUGGUGCAUGGCCG
rnacentral:rRNA from 1 species